rnacentral:rRNA from 1 species
CACGUAGGGCGCGAGCGUUGUCCGGAAUUAUUGGGCGUAAAGAGCUCGUAGGCGGCCUGUUGCGUCCGCUGUGAAAGCCCGGGGCUUAACCCCCGGGUCGGCAGUGGAUACGGGCAGGCUAGAGGUAGGUAGGGGAGAAUGGAAUUCCCGGUGUAGCGGUGAAAAUGCGCAGAUAUCGGGAGGAACACCGGUGGCGAAGGCGGUUCUCUGGGCCUUACCUGACGCUGAGGAGCGAAAGCGUGGGGGAGCGAAACAGG